GGAUGUGAGGGUGAUCUGGCUGUGACAUCUGUCACCCCAUUGAUCUCCAGGGUUGAUUCGGCUGAUCUGGCUGGCUAAGUGGGUGUCCCCUUCCUCUCUCACUGCUCCAUGUGCGUCCCUCCCAAAGCUGCGCACUCGGUCGAAGAGGACGACCUUCCCCGAUAGAGGAGAGGACCGUUCUUCAGUCAAGUGCUUAGUCAUGAAGUGCUAGAACCUCCAAACAAGCUCUCAAGAAAAGUGCUUGUCCUAUAAAUAAAAAUGGAAACUGUAGUGCUAUAAAACCUCAUCAACUUUUCUAG
rnacentral:snRNA from 1 species